UCCUGCCCCACUCCCCACAGGCACACACACAACUCAGAUCGGCAUAGACCCGGGGCCGCCCAUUUAAGCACGAUUUCGGGUCUUUACAGCAGAUUUCAAUUAUCAAGAAUCCAGGAGGAGCACAAGCUCAUGCUUAAGAAUGCAGUAUUCAGUGUUGCCAGAGGCCAGCACUAUUUGAGGGAAGGAGAAAAAUCUGCGGAUUAACUCACAAUAUAGGUCCUAAAAUCUAAAAUCUUGGUUGGUGCUUGUGUAUUUAACAAAUCAGAGCCAAACUGGAUUGAAUUCUGGAAAGUGUGAAUAAGCCAGGUGAAUCCAACUGGGCUUUGAAUCCCUCUUCUCUCUCCCUUAGCUCCAAAUGAGAUCCAAAGCAACACAGUGAGAUGACAUCUGAGACAUCUGAUCUACCUGUGCCUGGCACAAGACACCUUGGGGCUCUAUAGAUGAGUGCUGACUACACAAUUUAAAUUCUUGGCCUGCACACUUGUCUGUGAUUCACAGUCAAAGCUGCAAGCACAGUUAUGCCUACUGAUGCCUGACAGGUGACAAUAAUUCCUCAUGCCUGGGUAGUUACAGGUGAUGUGCAGAAGACACAGAGGCACAUGGCUCCACCAAGACCCCAGCAGACUUCUCAUUCUGACAGUCACAGUUUGCUAUAGUCCAUGUUUAUUUAAAACUAUGAAAAUGGCCAUUUUCCCAUGGACAAAAACUGCCAUGGGUAGAGUGACCACAUAAUUUAGUGUUUAGGCCAAGAGAGUUUUGAGAGUGAAAAGGGAAGAAAUGAAUAAAUAUCAUGAGAAAAGAGCAUUAAUGGGACUGGGCAAAUUGUGAUGUAUGGUGACUUGAACCAUAAGCCCCAGUGUCUAGCAAAGGAAGACCUUAAAUCUCUAGGGAAGCCCCUCGAGGUGGGAACAUGAAGAGCAGGGCAUUGGAGUUUUCCCCAAAGGAAAUUGAGGCUCAGAGAUUUAAGGGAUUUCCCUGCAGUUAACAGGCUUAUCAAUGGCACAACCAGAAAUGCAUCCAUAUUUGUAGGUAGAGUCACAGUUCUUUCAAUACACCACGGUAACCCAUUGCCCUUGGAUUCUGCUUCCCAACACCUCACAGCUCUGGUAUGGUUUCUUACAAUCCCCUCAUUUGCCUCUUCUUUUUCAGUAAUAUAAAUUUUCCCUACUACAUGAGUAAUAAAUGGUCACUGUAGAAAAUUUGGAUAUUGUAAAACAGCAUAAAGAAAAAAAUCAAUUGUUAUUUUACUGUCAAGGAAUACGUCCUGGUAUAUGACCUGUUACCCUUUUCUCUAGAUUUGUGUUCUGUGUGUGUGUGAAUGUGUGCAGUAAUAUUUUUGAGCUGUUCCCAGUUCCUCUUGUCUUAUUUUUCUGUAUAUAACCCUUUUCCUUCCCUCUCUACUUGAAGCAGAUAGAAGCCUUGUUGCUCAUUGCCCCAGGGGAGAAAUGAACUAGGCAAAAAAACAGAAAAUAAGGAGAAUUUGGUUUCCAAAAGCCUGAGCCCAUCAAGAAUAUUAUUCUCAUAACCUCUGAGGCAAAUCACAGUGUUUCUCUCCUUUCCAAUAUUUAUACUCCAUAUUUCUUUCUGUUGAUGUACUGUUGAUUAAGAGUUCCAGGAAAAUAUUAAAAAGUUGUGAUGAGAGCAAGCUCCCAUGCCUAGGUCUGACUUUAAUAUCCAGGUUGCCCAAUUAAAUGUGAUAUCUGCCAAUUAGACAUAAAUAUUCUUUCUCUCAUUAAGGAAGUCUCUUAUUCUUUUUGCUAAGAAGUUUUGUUUUAACAUUUUUUGUGAAAAAUCAACAGCAACAUUGAAAAUUGUCAAGUGGAUUUGGCCUCUAGGAAAAUAAUCAUGCAACUCAUUCUUCUGUUUAUGAAGAUAAUGAAUUAUAUCAAUAGAUGUUCUAUCAGCCAACCAUUUUAGAAUUCCUGAUUUUGCUGUGUUCUUUGUUUAAACAAGCUGCUGUAUUUGACUUGUACUCAAGUCAAAAGUAAUUUUGGCUUAUAUUUUUCAGUUUUACAAGUACCAAGUUUAUAUUCUUGAGGGAUAUGUAGAAUCAUAAAAUAAAUUAGAAAACUUUCCUUAUUUUCUAGCUAUGUAACAGGAAUUAUUUUUCUUAAAAACCAUUUAAAACUUGUUCAUCAAACUUUUGGGUUUGGAGCUUUUGUUAGAGGUAAUAUUCUGACACCUUCUGCUUUACUCAUAAUUUAUUGACUAAUUAAGAAUUUUUAUUUCCUCUUUUGUCAAUUUUAUUACUUAAAAUUUUUCUGCAUAAAUGACCAUUGCAUUGAGAAUUUCAAAUUGAUUAGCAUAGAAUUACAAACAGUUCCUACUAGAUUUCUCUGGUGGUCUAGUUUAGUAUAUUUUUUGGUUCGGGGCGCCUGGGUAGCUCAGUGGGUUAGGCCGCUGCCUUCGGCUUGGGUCAUGAUCUCAAGGUCCUGGGAUCAAGCCCCGCAUCAGGCUCUCUGCUCAGUGGGGAGCCUGCUUCCCUCUCUCUCUCUCUCUCUCUCUGCCUGCCUCUCUGCCUACUUGUGAUCUCUACCUGUCAAAUGGGUGGAUGAAUAAAAACUUAAAAAAAAAAGCAUAUUUUUUGGUUAAACUUUUAGUGAUUUGGUACUUGAUCAUUUUUUGCAAAGAAUCAGUUCUUAGGGGUGCCCAGGUGGCUCAUCAGUUGAGCAUCUGACUCUGGAUUUUGGCUUGGAUAGUGAUCUCAAAGUUGUGAAAUUGAGCUGCAUGUCUGCUCUGCACUGGGUGUGGAGCCUGCUUGGGAUUCAGUCUCUCCUUCUGCCCUCUGUCCUUCCUCCCCAUUCCCCUACACCAUCCCACUCAUGCACUCUCUCUCUUUCUUAAAAAAAAAAAAAAAAAAAAAAAAGAAUCAAUUCUUAGAUUUAAUACUAAUUCUCUAUUAAAAUUUCAGUUUGCUUUUAUUAUCUUUUAUUAUUUUUUUCUUAUUUCUUUCCUUUUGGGGAUGGUAUAGUGGAGAUGUUUCCUGUUUUAACUUAAGUGAAAUUUAUUUACCUUUUCACUUAUUAAAAAUGAAAUGAUUUAAUGUUUUUUAAUUUCUCAUCUAUGAGCUAUUGUUUUUGUCUACUGAACCCGCUACUUCCAGGGUUAGCUAAAGCCUUAGUGAAAACUCAUGAGCUCCCAGUGUAAGAGUCCUAGAACAGCCCUCCUCGGCUUUCCUGAGACACCUGGCAUCUUCUUGACUUUCAGUUCCUUGUGUUACAUCAGGAUCAUCUCAAUAUAUCCCUCUGUUUCAUAUAAUCUGAUCAGGUUUUGUUGCUUAACCAUGCAACUGACAGAAUAUUCUUAAUUUUAGUUUUGCAUCUCGACCCAAGUAUUACGUACUGUACAUUCUAAUUCCUAAGCAAUGGGGACUUUUAUUUUAUAAUUUUGCCAUUAAUUUCUAUUUUUUCUUGCAUUAUUUCAGAAUGUGGACUGUAUAAUUUCUGAUUCAAGCUUUUUUUAAAUCCAUUUUCUCUGUAGCCUAACGUGUGACCAUUUAAAUAAAUAGUUCAGGAUAUUGGAGGAAAAGGUGAAGAUUUAGGGUAGAAAGAUAUUUAUUAAUCAAUAUUAUUGCAUUACUAAGAUUCUCCAGCCUUAUGCAUGCCUUGUUUAUCAUUUAUCAAGAACUGAAAGGGUUGUGCUCCCAAAUUGUACCCAGCUUCCUUUUUAUUAUAUAGGCUAUUAUUUUCCCCCCAGUGCUGUUGAAACAUAAUUGACACACAGUACUGUGUAAGCUUAAGGUGUACUACGUGGGGGGCUUGAUUUACAUACAUUGUAAAAUAAUUAUCACAAUAAGUUUAGUUAACAGUCAUUAUCUCAUAUAGAUACAAAGAAAGAAAAAUAUUUUUUCAUUGUGAUGAGAACUCUUAGGAUUGACUCUCUUCAUAACUCCCCUAUAUAUCACGUGGCGGUGUUCAUUAUAGUUAGCUUGUUGUACAUCACAUGCCCAGUAUUAUAACUGGAAGUUUGUGUCUUUUGACUACUCUUGUAUGUGCCUUUUGACCUCACCCCUCCCACCCCUUUCCCCACUACUGGGGAGUUUUUUAUUUUUUAAAUUUCAGAUAUUAGUGAAGUCAUACAGUAUUUAUCUUCUCCCAUUCAGUAGUCUUUUCAUUUUGUUGAUGGUUUCCUUUGCUGUGCAAAAGCUUUUUAUUUUGAUGUAGUCCCUGUAGUUUAUUUUUGCUUUUGUUUCCCUUGUCUGAAAAGACUUAUCUAGAAAAGUGUUGUGUGGCUGAUGACAAGGAGAUUACUGCCUAUUCUCUUCUAGAAGAUUUAUGGUUUGUCAUCUCGUCUCUUUAAUCAUGGCCAUCUACCAGGCUUGAGAUGAUAUCUCAUUGUGGUUUUGAUUUGUACUUCAACUAAUGAUGAGUGAUGUUGAGCACCUUUUCAUGUACCUCUUGGCCAUUCAUAUAGUUUCAGAAAAAUGCCUAUUCAUAAUAUGUAUGUUACAUGAGUUCUCUAUAAGAUUUGAAAUAUUAAUCCCUUAUCAAAUAUAUGAGUCACAAAUAUUUUUCCCAUUCCAUAAGAUAUCUUUUCACUGCAUUGUUCGUGACUUUGUAGUUGAUGUAGUCCCACUUGUUUGUUAUCUUGUUGCCUGUAUUUUAGGUGUCAUAAUAAAAAAAAUAUUGCCAAGACCCAUGUCAAAAAAUAUUUACAUUUAUGUAUUCUUUUAGGAGUUUUAUGGUUUCCAGUCUUUAUGCUUAUUUAAAGUACACAGUGUGAUGAGUGUUGGUGAAUUCACACCACUCCAAUUGAGAUGUAUGUUUCCAUCAUCCCUAAACACAUUCUCCUGGCCAUUGCAGUCAGUGCUUCCACCUGACUGCAAGCAUCUGCUGCUCUGCUUUCUGCCUCCAUAAAUUAGUUUGUCUCUUCUAGAAUUUCAUAUAAGUGGAAUUAUAUAGUAUGCAAUCUUUUGUAUCUUUCUUCAUCAAGCAUAAUGCUUUUGAGAUUCAUCUGUGUUGUUGCAUGUGUCAGUUCAUUCUUUUUUAUUGAGAAGUAGUAUCCCAUUGUAUGAAUAUACUAUAAUUGAUUUACUCAUCCACCUGUUGAUAAAUAUUUGUACUUCUAUUUUUUGAGAUAUUAUGAAUAAAACAGUAUGACCAUUCACAUAUAUCUUUCUGUAGACUUACAUGUUCAUUUCUGUUGAAUAUGGAAUGGAAUUGGAAUUAGGAAUGGAGUUGCUGGAUCAUAUAAUAAGGAUGUAUUUGAUUUUAUUUUUUUAAAAAGAUGAAAUUGUUUUCCAAAUUUGCUGUACCAUUUUCACUCACACCAGUGAUGUAUGUGAUUUCCAGUUGCUCCAGAUCCUCAGCAAUAGCUGGUAUUUUCAGAUUUUCUGGUUCUAUCCAUUGUAAUGGGUGUAUAGCCUAUCUCGUUGUGGUUUUAAUUUAUAUUUGCCUGAUGACUAAUGAUGUGAGGCAUCUUUUCAAAACCCAUUGUAUUUGUCACUUAUCAUCUUUUGCAAAAUGUGUGUUCAAAUUAUUUGCCCAUUGUUUCACUGGGUGGUUUGUCUUACUAUUAUUAAGUUUUAAAAUUCUUUAUUUACUCCAGAUACAAUUCCACUGUCAUAUAUAUCCAUUAAAAAUAUUUUCUCCCAG